rnacentral:rRNA from 1 species
AAAGAGGAGUGGCGAACGGGUGAGUAACACGUGGGUAACCUGCCCAUCAGAAGGGGAUAACACUUGGAAACAGGUGCUAAUACCGUAUAACAAUCAAAACCGCAAGGUUUUGAUUUGAAAGGCGCUUUCGGGUGUCGCUGAUGGAUGGACCCGCGGUGCAUUAGCUAGUUGGUGAGGUAACGGCUCACCAAGGCCACGAUGCAUAGCCGACCUGAGAGGGUGAUCGGCCACAUUGGGACUGAGACACGGCCCAAACUCCUACGGGAGGCAGCAGUAGGGAAUCUUCGGCAAUGGACGAAAGUCUGACCGAGCAACGCCGCGUGAGUGAAGAAGGUUUUCGGAUCGUAAAACUCUGUUGUUAGAGAAGAACAAGGAUGAGAGUAACUGUUCAUCCCUUGACGGUAUCUAACCAGAAAGCCACGGCUAACUACGUGCCAGCAGCCGCGGUAAUACGUAGGUGGCAAGCGUUGUCCGGA